AGACCCGCCACCAGGAGGGAACCUGUUGCGGCUGCGUCAAACCACAACACACUGCUUCUCGUCUCAUCUCUUCUACUGUCUAUGCAGAAUCACCGGCGGAACAGCAGAGGACAGGAGAAGAGGGCAGAGAGGAGGAAGAGAGCCGACGCUUUGCUUCAGCUCAUUAACCAACGCCUGUUAGCUUGGAAAUAAAUUGGCUGAAGAGGGCAGCAGAGCAAAGAGACAUCGUCAGUGCUAGCACAAAAUCCAACG